GACAAACGCUGGCGGCGUGCUUAACACAUGCAAGUCGAGCGGUAAGGCCCCUUCGGGGGUACACGAGCGGCGAACGGGUGAGUAACACGUGAGCAAUCUGCCCAUCACAUCGGGAUAACCCCGGGAAACCGAAGCUAAUACCGAAUACGACCACCUCCGGCAUCGGAUGGUGGUUGAAAGUUCCGGCGGUGAUGGAUGAGCUCGGGGGCUAUCAGCUGGUUGGUGGGGUAACGGCACACCAAGGCCUCGAGGGGUAGCCGGCCUGAGAGGGUGUCCGGCCACACUGGGACUGAGAAACGGCCCAGACGCCUACGGGAGGCAGCAGUGGGGAAUAUUGGACAAUGGGCGAAAGCCUGAUCCAGCAACGCCGCGUGAGGGAUGACGGCCUUCGGGUUGUAAACCUCUUUCAGCAGGGACGAAGCGCAAGUGACGGUACCUGCAGAAGAAGCACCGGCCAACUACGUG
rnacentral:rRNA from 1 species